UGGGACAAAAAAAUAUUAUGUUGUUGGUUUAAGCCC
rnacentral:rRNA from 1 species